GCGGAGUCUGUAACCUGAAGCGUAUGUACCCUGAAGCAUAUGUAACCUGAGGUACCUCUGUAUAGAUGAACUUUUACCUCAGAUGCCAUGUGAUAAACGGAUCCUUAAUAUUUCCCGUCUUAAGCAGAUAACCGCAAUAUCUGUUAAAAUGUCUCUCACAAAUGUUCUAGCAUGCCUGGAAUCCAAGACAGUGAACUAUUUAGAGUUUGCAUAUACAGUUUAUACAGUGAGUUAUAUGUUUAAUAUAAUGAUCGUGUUCACUUCUCCCGAUCACGCCCUCCAGUAAAGCUGUUUUAUGGUACUCAGUUGUUUAUAUUCCAGAUAUGGGGAUGACAUAUUAUUCUUCAGAAUUUUCAGGAUAUUUAUUUUUCUACUUUUCAAGAGAAGACUUUAUAAUAAGUUUCAUGGGCUUAAUGUUUACAGCCCUGCCCACUUAAAGUCAUAUUAAAUUAAUAAAGUCUGGGAAACCGUUGAAGCUUUUCAAGUCCUCCUCAGUUAGCGAACAAGACUCAACAGUUUUAAAAGGGCCCACCGUGCACUCUUGUGCUUUUUCUGUCUCGCCUUAGGAAGAAGAACAGAGUUGUUAACACCUGUUCUCACCCAGCGGUUUGGCAUUUGAAACUGACUGCACUGUGUUAAAUUUAAGCUUGACUGUCAAAACCUUCCAGCAUAAUCACUUGCUUAACUGGGCCCCAAUUCCCAAGUACAAUAACGAAUCUUUCUUGCUAGCAGACUUGAUCGCUGAAGAACUGGAAGUAUUUGCCUUCAGACUUUGUAAAUUCUAGUGCAUAUUAGCUGUACAUCUGUGGCUGUGAUUCUCAGAUAAUUCACCCAGCAGAAAUCAGCAGGCUGGGAUUGCAGCCCUCAAAUGACAAUUUCUCCCCAAAUAUUUAAAAGAUUCAUUAUUUGGGGUAGGUUAGGGUAUUCUGAAAAUGAAUAUGUAAUAUUCAAACCUUAUAUUUUUUACGGAGCUCCCGUUGCUCGGUCCCUGCUCCUGCCAACCUAAGCAGUUCGAAAUCACGUCAAAGUGCAAGUAGAUAAAUAGGUACCGCUCCGGCGGGAAGGUAAACAGUGUUUCUGUGCGCUGCUCUGGUUCGCCAGAAGCGGCUUAGUCAUGCUGGCCACAUGACCCGGAAGCUGUACGCCGGCUCCCUCGGCCAGUAAAGCGAGAUGAGCGUCGCAACCCCAGAGUCGGCCACGACUGGACCUAACAGUCAGGGGUCCCUUUACCUUUAUACUUCUUCUUAAUUGUAUUUCACUAUUAAUAUACUUCUUCUUAAUUGUAUUUCAGUUCAGCAAUUACUUUGAUAGAAUUUACUUUGAUAAAAUACAUAUUUUGUUAUUUGCAAAUGGCUUUAGAUACCUAUUAGGCCCAUAAAUUACCAUAUAGCACAUAUUCAACACAAAAAACAGUGACAAUUUGUUGUUGACAAAGGACAGCUGGACAUAUAAAGGGCCCCAUUACCUUCAGUAGCUUAGGGCCUCUUCAAACCUAAAUCUGGCCCUGUUGGGGAUAGCAGCUAUUAAAAUUGGAACUUGCAAACUGCAAAUCCCUCAUAGUCUUCUGGGUAUGCCCAGUGCUCCUGCCAGCUAGCAAAGGAAAUUUUGCUGUACAUGUCCUUUCUGACUCUGCCAAAGCAGGACCAAAAAUGUCUGUAGCAACAUUUCAAAUAGGUUGGGAGUUACUCUUUUUAAUAAAAAGAAGAAGAAGCAGAUGAGCUGCUGCAUUCUCUUGAGGAGCAGUGUCCUGGCAAAGAACCAAUCAGAACACAUUGCACUCUGUCUUACCUCUUCCUCACUUGGCACCAAGAGGGCAAAAUAAUACAUAAAGUCAGUUUUAAAAAUAGUAGGUUUCUUACACAAGGUGACCUAUUUACAAAUACAGAUAAAUAUAAAAUGUUCAUCAUCAUCAUUUGGCCUAUUCCUUCUUGAUGUAACAAAGCUAUAUAAGAGCACAGAACAUGCUGUCUCCAUUUUAGCAAAGUGACUCAAAUAAGAAAGCCACAAAAGAACAACGAAGAAGCGUGCAGUUAGAUCCAAACAGCCUGCAGCAAGAUAACUCUGAAAAGAGAUUGCAAUCAGUUUUGCUCGGGCUGUGGUAAACUGGAGAAGAUGAAAGGAGGAAAACUGUUAAAGCAGAGAUCAAUGUAACUUGUGAUACAAAUGAAACAGGAGCCCCUGGCAUCUUGAGACACAGGAUAUAUCUUUGUCAAUUGGGAACUACUAAACUGUACGUGAAUCUGGACUUGUAUAUCCAUGACAUAUAUAUUUAAAUAUACACCUUCCCUUUUCUCUCUCAACAAUUCUUAAAAGGCAUGAGACAAACUGUAUCACGUAAGAUGUUCUCCAGUGGCGCAGUGGGUUAGUGAGUCUAGCUCUUAACCAGAAGGUUGGUGGUUCAAGCCCACCCAGGAAUGGCUGUGGUCAAGAUUCCAACUCUAUGAUUCCAUAAGAAGCCUAGGUCUGGGUUUCCCAAACUGGUCCACAGCCUACUAAUGGCCCUUGAGCUUCAUUCAGCUGGUCUGCAGCAUAUCUGCAGAUUUGCGGUUGAAAAUGGGAGGCAGUAUAUUCAUCACAUUAAAUAGUUAUACUGCUUUGAAUUGUCCUUUUAUUGACUCCUUGUGCUCCAAAAUCAUCUCUGCUUUUGUGCUGUAAGCUACAAACAGAAUUGCAACGAACUUUGCACACAUUGGCUUCUUUGUGUGCAGACUUCCUGCUGUGUUCUGUGCACCAUAGCUUGGGACAAUUCCCACUCCUUCUCUUCCCCCUCUUUUCUUCCCCAAUGCAUUUCAUUAGAGUGAAAAGAAAGAAAGAAAGAAAGAAAGAAAGAAAGAAAGAAAGAAAGAAAAAGAAAGAAAGAAAGAAAGGUCCAUUGCUAUUUUUCUAGAAAAAGAGGUGUCAGAACUCAACAUAAACUCCUCCCUCAUUCUCUUAGAACAGCAAUAGCACCCCUGAGAGGUGCCAGAACUGAGUGCCGGUAAGUUCCAGCUGAAAAAAAAGUCCUGGAAAGGUCUAUAAACCAGGAACAGAGGUCUACUUUUUCCAUUGUUCCAGUCUGCCCUCUUCCACCUAAUCCUGAUUUGUUCAGCUCAUUUGAAGUAGUUUUCUCCCUGCCAACUCUGAUAGAGAAAGACAGCCAGAGAGACAAGAAGAAAAUUGCAGUUUAAAGGAGUAAUAACAAGUUGUUUUCCAUCUAAGCACUGAAAUCACCCAUAUAAGUACAGUAUAGAAUGCAAAUGUGUAGUAGUACCUUGUUCAUAUAGAUCAGUAGUAGGGAACCUCUGUCUCACAGGCCAAUCUUGGCCUGCAAUUGGUUCAGUUUGGUCUGUGAAGCCAUUUCCCCAAGACAUGGCAUUGGGGAAGUUAUUGAUUCCAACUUCAAUACAGUGGUACCUUCGGUUAUGAACUUAAUUCGUUCCUGAGGUCCGUUCUUAACCUGAAACCAUUCUUAACCUGAGGCACGCUUUUGCUAAUGGGGCCUCCUGCUGCCACCACAGCAGCGCAUGCGGCAGCACAUGAUUUCCAUUCUCAUCCUGGGGCAAAGUUCACAACCCAAGGUACUACUUCUGGGUCAGCGGAGUUUGUAACCUGAAGUGUUUGUAACCCGAAGCAUUUGUAACCCAAGGUACCACUGUACUGUUUGCACCUGCAAAAGUUUCAGAGUGGACAUCCUACUUUGUUGCCAAUUGGUGCAUGUCCCAUGACUUCCUAUUGGAAGUCUGCAUCUUUUCCUACCACAAAUGCAAGAGUACCCCUUGUUGCGAAGCACCCCUUAAAUCCAGCUUUUGCACCUGAGAAGGAAAUUCUAUUUUGGCCUGUACAGAACCUCGCCAAAAACGUGAAUUGCAACAUUAUUGAUUGCUGGCGUUUUUCACUGUAAAUCUUUGCCAUCAUCCCUUAUCAUCUGUAUGUUUAAUGUUUACAAAAGAGCAUCAGACUUCUUCUGGAAGUUAUACAUCAAGAUAUAGUCAUCUAAAAUGCCACUCCUUCACGCCUUCCUUCCUUCCUUCCUUCUCUUCCCCACAAUAACUAAUCAAGUACAGUAGUUUCAAUGAUCUAAGGCUCCCACCUGAAGAGCCACACAGAUAAGUUCACCUCUCCCCAACACAUACCUGGAGAGCAGAAUGAUGAUGCAUUUUUAGAAGCUAUUUCUCAGAUUUAGGAGAAACCUUCUGACUGGAAGCCAUCUGUGUGGAAAUGCUGUAGCUUUACAAACAAACAAACAAAUAAGGGGGGGAACCCACAAGGUAAGAAUCAGGCCAAAGCAAUUAAAGAUGUACUGUUCAGCAAGCUUCUAGUUUAUGUUCUCUUUAAAGCUCUACAGUGGAUUAUUUCACUAAUAUCUGGUUUCACUUACAGCGAUACAAAACAAGCUUUAAUUGCAUGCACCUCAGUAGAAAAAGGAAGCGUCAACUGAUCCAGAAAUCCUCAUUCUCACAGUAAUCGGGUAACUGCCUUUGGAAAUGGUACAAUUUCUGCUGGCCAGGCUUCAGUUUUCACCUGAGAGGGGGAAAGGCCUUUUGCAAGCAGUUUUUUAAACACACUUGAGUGACCUUCUGUGUAUGCGGGUUUAAUACUCUGUCCUUUAAGUUGUCAGUUUGCUUUCCACUCAAGAUAUUGAGACUGCGGAGCCUUGAGACAAAAUUUCCCAACAGUCACUGCUGUGGCCUUUAUCUCUGACCUAAGGUGCUUUCCAGAUGGCAUGGCUGACCCUACCAUUAGGCAGAGUGAGGCAAUUGCCUUAGGUAGCAGCAGGGGCAGACAUGCCACCUCCCCAAAGGCAGGAAUGGGGGGCAUCAGGCUUUGGGAAGGUGGUGCAAGGCUCUGGCAGAAUCCUAGAGCCCUCCUACCUCCUUCCCAAAGGUGGGCAAGUGCUAAUUAGGGUUUGGGAAGUAGGUGCCCCUUGUGCCUUGCCCCCCCCCCCGUGCUGCCCUAAAUCCACCUCCGGUAGCAGAAGGAGGGUGGGGCAGCAGGGGCAGCCUCCCACUCCUAGCUAUUCCCCUCUGUUGGAGAUCAGAGCUGGAUGUGUGCCACAGACCUCUUCUGGCCUCAUUUCUGAUUGAGGAGCAGCCAUAGCUCAGUACCUCUGGUUAAGAACUUAAUUUGUUCUGGAGGUCCAUUCUUAACCUGAAACUGUUCAUAACCUGAAGCACCACUUUAGCUAAUGGGGGCCUUGCGCUGCCACCGCGCCGCCGGAGCACAAUUUCUGUUCUCCUCCUGAAGCAAAGUUCUUAACCCGAGAUACUAUUUCUGGGUUAGCGGAGUCUGUAACCUGAAGCGUAUGUAAGCCGAGGUACCACUGUGUUUCAUGCACUUAACUUGCAGGGGGUCUGUGGUUCCAUCCUUGGCAUCUUCAGACAAUGGAACUCAGGUAGCAUGUGAUAUGAAACACACAGUAAGGAAGCUGCCUUAUAGUGAGUCAAUCCAUCAGUCCCUCUAACUCAGUAUUGUUGACACUGACUGGCAGCAGCUCCCUAGAAUUUCAGACAAGGGACAGUCCCAGCCCUACUUGGAAUUGCUGAGCAUUGAACUUGGGACCUUCUGCAUACUAAGCAGAUACUAGCCCACUAAGCUAUGGCUCUUCAUCAUUAGAGUCUGAGGCUGCAGCUGACAGGAACAGGGCACUGGGGGUGAAGUUAGCUUGUGUGGCCUCCCUCUGUGCAUUCUUGGCAAACAUCUGAACAGAGCUAGAAACGCAUUCCAAAGUAUAGCGGAGAUUAUUUGAACACAUAUCUUCUGCAUUCUGGUGCCCUUGUUUUCAGAGCAGAAUGAGCGUGCUGGGGGAACCCGGCCAGAUGGGUGGGGUAUAAAUUAUUAUUAUUAUUAUUAUUAUUAUUAUUAUUAUUAUUAUUUCAAUUGGGGUUUAAACCACUUGUUACAUUAAGUGAGUGAAAUCCAUUAACAUGUGACAGCACCCCUGAUUUUUGCAUUUCAAUACAUUAGUUGCUUUCAUGCAAUUAACUUGCUGUGUGAGAACAUGAUGAUUCUCUGUCCUUCACUCAUGUUUGCUGGUCCAAGCUGGUCCCCCAAAGAAAUAUGCAGCUAACCACUCUUGUUUCAGCUGCAAGCCUUUGAGUUCAGUGAGGUUGUCUGGUAUAAUUGAGAUGGGAGUUUGGUCCAAAUAAUCUCCAUUCUACUAUCACGGGCUUCAACAUACUCAGCAUUGCAACAGGAUCUGCUCAAAGGGCAGAGUGCAUGGAGUGCAAAUUUUGUCCCUGUCAGAUAAGCAGUCGUGAAAUCAAGCCACCGCUUACUCAACAACUGUGAGAACAGUGGGAGAAAGCAGCUUAGGAAACAUUGUCAGCUCUGUAUCUUGUACUCUAGCCUUUCCUGCGAUGAUAACAGGGAACAGGUAAUUCUCAUUCUGCAAAUGUGACUUUAGGGGCUCCAAUUUUAUUCAUAUAUAUACACAGUGGAACCUCAGUUUUCAAUCGUCUGGGAAGUCGAACGUUUCAACUUUCAAAUGCCGAAAACCCAGAAGUAACUGCUCUGGUUUUUGAACGAUUUUCAGAAGCCGAAUGUGCAACACAGCUUCCAUAUUGAGUUUCCCUAUUGCAGUGGUGUCCAAACUUUUUUCAAAGAGGGCCAGAUUUGAUGAAGUGAACAUGCAUGAAGGCUGGCCUAUACAUAAAUCCGACACUGGGUCAAGAAGGUGGCCGCCCCUCUGUCAUCACCAUCGCUGCAGCAUCAACGUCCCGAACGUGUACUGUAGUAUUUAUUUAUUUAUUUAUUUAGCCACGCCCCCCGGCCAACCAGAUUGGUUGACCCAAGGAGUGAUGCAGCCGGGGCCUCCCUAAUGGCGCGGGGGAGGGCUAGCCACACCCCCAGAGGGGAGAGCUCGUGACAAGCCCGUAAAAAGGAAAUGGCUUUGGUGGGCAGGCGCUCGGGGGCUGCAAGAGAUUGCUUUUUCAAAAUUGCCUGGUGGGCUGUUUGAAACCAGCCUGGGGGCCGCAAUUAGCCCCCAGGCCGGACUUUGGACAUGCCUGCCCUAUUGUAUUGAGGCUUCCAUACUGAGUUUUUGGUUUUCCAACAUUUCAGAAAGCAAACGGUCUACUGAAACAGAUUACGUUCGAAAACCGAGGUUCAACUGUAUUUCUCAACUUUUUUUUCUUUUUCAGCCAUGGAUACACUACAUGCAAAAGAUCUAAAGGCAUUUUCACAAGUGUCAUUCAUAUGUGUCCACAAUGCACAAAAGCAGCAGGGACUGCAGGUAAACCAAGGGGAAUCCCAUCCCCUGCAAUUCUAAGAUGCAUCAAUAACUGAGAGCCUCAUGUCCCUUUAACAAUGUUUCAUCAAUUAACUAUUGUAAGAGUUGUGGACAAAAGUAAAUAUAACCCAUGUGUAACUGCUGCAAGAAAACCUGCACGUUCAUUGUCUUAGUAGAUAACCAAAUUGAACAGGGAGUAGGAGGUAGAGCAGUAACCAAAGGCACCUUAAGGCUGCAAUCCUACACUCACAACCCUGGGAUGAUAUUUGAGUAGACCCAUGCAGGAUUGAACUAGAAACUACAAUUAGAUGCUAAGUGUAAGCUGGCACAUACUGAGGAGCAUAUAAUGGAUUGAAUGUUAUUUAUUUCAUUGGUAAUGUUGGUUACUUUUAAUUAUUGAUCAUUUAUUACGUUUCUAUUGUGUCUUCAACCACAAAACUCAAGGUGGCACACAUAGUAUUCCCAGGUGGUCUCACAUCCAGAAAUUGACCAAAGCCAGGUUACAGCAAGGUACUUAUCUCAUGUUAUCUUCAGGCAAUAUAUAUAUACUCAAUUCAGGCACCCCACUUGUUGGGAAUGGAGGUUGCUGAUGGGUGCUUGUGCUUGAGGCAAGGUUCAUGCUAAGGUUCUGGGAGGAGAAAGUCUUGGCACAUGCUCAAGUUCCUGUGUCUCCUCAGAAGAACCAUUUUAUAUUUAUGAAUUUGUUUCUUAAUACAUGUAUAUCCCACCUGUCCCUCAAGGAGGCUGAUGUAGCAAUAGCAUGUGUGGUUCUCUCCUCCUUAUGUUCUCCUCACCAUGACCUUGUGAGGUAGGUUGUGCUGAGAGUCACCCAGUGAGCUUUGUGGUGUGGCAGAAUGAGGAUUUGAACCCUGGUCUUCCAUGCUCUGGUCAGAUAUGCUAACCACAUACCACACAUUGGUUUUGCAAACGUUUUGCAAAGUGCUUCUCUGUAGCACAAAGCACCCCUUCUCCAUUUCCUAUCAAGGGAGUCCACCUGAGAGUGCCAUUAUUAUAUACCUUUAGGCGCCAGGCCAAAACUUUCCUCUAUAACCAGGCCUUUGGCCUUUAACUAUCUGAGACCUUUUAGAAGUGGGUGGGGUGUUUUUAAUAAUGUGUUUCUCUUUCCUCUUGGUUUUAAUAUAUCUGAAUGGGGUUUAUUGUCUGUUUGGUUCUAAGUUGCUUUGGGUGGCCCUGGGCAAGAUAAAGUGACUGAGAAAUUCAAUUUUAAAAAACAAUCAAAUAAAUAAAUGUGCCAGGGCUGAGGUGUUUUGGCCACAGGUUGUAAGAGUGUGGAAUGAGUGCUGUUGCACACAUAUCCCGCUUGCGGGCUUCCUACAGGCAUCUGCUUGGCCAGUGUGAGAACAGGAUGCUGGACUAGAUAAACCUAUGGCCUGAUUCAACAAGGUUUCUGUGAUGUUAAUGUGGCAUUUGCACUGUUUCUCUGCCCAUGACUCGCCCUGUCAGUUUUUCUGCUGGAAGGGUGUUCCAGCAGUAUAUUUAGUUUAAAGGCACCACCAGGGAUGCUGUGUGUGUGUGUGUGUGUGUGUGUGUGUGUGUGUGUGUUUAAACUAUUGUUGUGUAUUCUAACAUCAGAAUAAUCUACAAGCAAAACAUCCAGUUCUUUGCAAUGAAAACCCACCUCAGGGGAAACUGAACACCACUCAGCACAGGCAGAGUCUUGUUUUAAAGGCAUAUUGUCUCUGGAAUGUAUUCCUACAAGACCUUGCCCAGGAAAAACAACAGGUUUGAAGCAGAAAAUCUUGUUCUUGCAAAGACAAAUGCUUAACAUGGUGAUUAUAGCCAUGCUGUGAGGUGCUGGCACCUCAUAGAGAUAGAGUCUACCAAUAACACUUUUUGGGGGGUGGGGGGGAAUAACGCCUCAGGGUGUUUUGACAAGCAAACACAGCUCAGGGGAUAGGGUUACACCCCUGUUUUCCAUAUCACAGUCCUAUUCCAGAUGGGGAGACGGACUUAUUUAUUUUUUAGAAAUAGAAAGAGAUGUGGACAGUCCUAAUCAUGCUACAGUACAAACAUUAAACAUAAUUUGGUCUUGACAGAGAAGAAGGCUGAAUAGUACUUUAAUGUUUUCCAGGAUGGAAAAAAAAGAGUGAACAAGCUUCAGCAUCAUGAUGUUUCUACUACAUGCCCUUUCUGCAGGCUAGGAUUUCUGUAGUCCAUUCCUAUCUUGUUAAGGCUUGUCACACCAUCACUUCCGUAGCCAGACACAGAUUCCAUAUCUGAUCAGGUAUUGGUUGUGAAAGUGGGAAGCUGCUACCUGAUACGUUGAAUGAAUUCUGUGUUUUACCAUCAUGGUGUAGUUUUCAGAUGAAAGUGACCAGAACUGUUUCGUACAAUGAUGCAGAAUUACAUAACAGGGAAGUUUGGUAAAUUGUCUCUAUUUCUAAUUUAUUAUAUUAAAACUAACAGCUUGGAAACCCAGCCGGAUGGGUGGGGUAUAAAUAUAUUAUUAUUAUUAUUAUUAUUAUUAUUAUUAUUAUUAUUAUCAUGCUUGGGAGUAGACAUAACACAGUUUAAUUUAUGUGUCUUGCCAAUGGGCUGCAGCAUACACUGUUACUUAGCUUUAACAUAAUUGGUUAAAAAUACAUUUAACAUGCAAAGGAAACUUAUGGUAAACAUAAGUGCGACAAAAAAUAGACAAGCAUAUGUGAAACUCACAAUAAGCAUGAAAUGGUUGUGUGAAAUUGAUUUGUUGAUCUCUGUUACUUGAUGGAUUCUAAACCAGCAGAAACAGUCCUGAGAAUAUUAAAUAUAGUUCUCUUUGC